rnacentral:rRNA from 1 species
GAUGAACGCUGGCGGCGUGCCUAAUACAUGCAAGUCGAGCGAACGGACGAGAAGCUUGCUUUUCUGAUGUUAGCGGCGGACGGGUGAGUAACACGUGGAUAACCUACCUAUAAGACUGGGAUAACUUCGGGAAACCGGAGCUAAUACCGGAUAAUAUUUUGAACCGCAUGGUUCAUAAGUGAAAGACGGUCUUGCUGUCACUUAUAGAUGGAUCCGCGCUGCAUUAGCUAGUUGGUAAGGUAACGGCUUACCAAGGCAACGAUGCAUAGCCGACCUGAGAGGGUGAUCGGCCACACUGGAACUGAGACACGGUCCAGACUCCUACGGGAGGCAGCAGUAGGGAAUCUUCCGCAAUGGGCGAAAGCCUGACGGAGCAACGCCGCGUGAGUGAUGAAGGUCUUCGGAUCGUAAAACUCUGUUAUUAGGGAAGAACAUAUGUGUAAGUAACUGUGCACAUCCUGACGGUACCUAAUCAGAAAGCCACGGCUAACUACGUG